AGCAGCCGCGGUAAUUCCAGCUCCAAUAGCGUAUAUUAAAGUUGUUGCAGUUAAAAAGCUCGUAGUUGAAUUUCGGGAUUCUACCGUCGGUCGGGCUAACAAGUCUGUACUGGUGUGUAGAAUUUCUACCUUCUGGGGAACUAUCAUGUUAUUAAUUUAGCGUGGUGGGAAACCAGGACCUUUACCUUGAAAAAAUUAGAGUGUUCAAAGCAGGCUUACGUCUGAAUACAUUAGCAUGGAAUAAUAGAAUAGGACGGUGGUCCUGUUUUGUUGGUUUCUGAAUCACCGUAAUGAUUAAUAGGGAUAGUUGGGGGCAUUAGUAUUCAAUUGUCAGAGGUGAAAUUCUUGGAUUUAUUGAAGACUAACUUCUGCGAAAGCAUUUGCCAAGGAUGUUUUCAUUAAUCAAGAACGAAAGUUAGGGGAUCGAAGACGAUCAGAUACCGUCGUAGUCUUAACCAUAAACUAUGCCGACUAGGGAUCGGACGAUGUUAACCUUUAUUGACUCG
rnacentral:rRNA from 1 species